rnacentral:lncRNA from 1 species
CGCAGACGACACUUCACAAAGUUCUUGGCUAGGAAGUGAUGUGAGGGUACCAGAGUGGGGGUGACAAAAAGAGGCCACCAAAUUCCCUUAUAAUCAAGACAAUCUCCACCCCCCAGCAAGAUCACCAGUCAACUUGAUCUUGAUCUCAUGAAGACUCUCUUCCCAGCUGGUACUAACUUGUGCCAAGCUCUCAUUUAAAACUGACCAUCAGGGCUGGAGAGAUGGCUCAGAGGCUAAGAGCACUGACUGCUCUUCAGGAGGUCCUGAGUUCAAUUCCCAGCAACCACAUGGUGGCUCACAACCAUCUGUAAUGAGAUCUGGUGCCCUCUCUGGUGUGCAGAUAUACAUGGAAGCAGAAUGUUGUAUACAUAAUAAAUAAAUAAAAUCUUUUUAAAAAAUGAAGAUGUCUAGGCGAUAUUGUGAAAAGUUCUCUAAGAUGUAUUAUUAAGUAAAGCAAUACAGUUUAAAGAAAUAAAUAAAACUGAC